AGAAUCAACGCUGGCGGCGUGCCUAACACAUGCAAGUCGAACGCGAAAGUCCCGCAAGGGAUUAGUAGAGUGGCAAACGGGUGAGUAACGCGUGGGUGACCUGCCUUCGAGUGGGGGGAUAACGUUUCGAAAGGGACGCUAAUACCGCAUGACAUCCUGCCUUUGAAGAGGCGGAGAUCAAAGCCGGGGAUCGCAAGACCUGGCGCUUGAUGAGGGGCCCGCGUCUGAUUAGCUAGUUGGUGGGGUAACGGCUCACCAAGGCAACGAUCAGUA
rnacentral:rRNA from 1 species